AACCUUCUGGGUUCUUGUUUUCCAGGAGAAAGGGCUCACUUCAUCCAGCCAGGUGGAACUUGAUGACACAUGAUCCCACACAAGAAUACACCGAACUGAGUCUUACUGAGGAUCCGUGCUGGCGUGGACUGGAGCUGAGGUCAGGAGCCUGUGCUGUCUCCAGAGGGUGCCUUGCUACCUUUACCCUGGUCCAACGCACACAGCAUAGCUUCUGUUCCUGGUCGCUGAUCUCCGGGUUUCUGAGAUUCCAGAGUGAUAUGCCUUGGUGUCUCUUUCUUUAUGCUUCGUGUGUCUGAGCUUCAGUGAACUUCUAAGAACUAAGGCUUGUUCAGGAGCACUGACCAGCUAAGCUCCUCGGUGCCACCAAGAAUAGCUGUUCAAACAGUCAUCCUUCAGGCACAGGAAAGCUUUAGUAAGGAGAAAGAAGAGUGUUGCCUCUAUCCGUGGCUGGUGCAUCUCCAAAUGAUUUCAAUUUAUGAUGCUAUUUUAAUACAGAAAAAUAAACGAAAACACUAGCACAUUUGACAUUUGAAAUUAUGCUGACUGGCUGGCAUAUUUUAAAACACAUCAAAUAAAGACAGGCAUCAAUGUUUGAC
ensembl:lincRNA AU016765 expressed sequence AU016765